ACUGGACCUGACUCUGACGCAGGUAGACUUCCUGGAGCCGAGGCUGCAGUGUUCCAUGGGGCUGGGGCCCCUCGGACGGCAUCCCCACUGAGAUCGGCUGCAUCGAGCUCAAGAGCUCAUGGCCUCCUGGAGGCCUGUUGGAGCAACUCACAGUCUUUGGCUUAUCCCAAAGUUUGGAGUCGUUCACUUUAAUUCCCAACAAUAUGUACCUUGUGCAUAAAAGUGCCCAGUGUAUCCAACAGAGCUGGUAUUUUCCCUGGACCAGUCCUCUGGGGUCAUGGAACAGAGGUUUCAGGAGAUGAGGAGCAUCAUCACUUCUGUCAUUGGUGAGCUCACCAUCUGGGGCAGCAGUUGCCCAGUGGCAUCCAGAGUGGCUGUGGUCUCCUAUGACUCCGGCACCAGCUACCUCAUCUGCUGGUCCCAUUACCAUAGCAAGAAGCAGCUCCUCCGGUUGCUUUCCAAGGAAAAAUACUGACCUCCUAUGGAAGCCUGAGACAUCGGUGACACGAUGAGAUCUGUGGCCUGGAAUGUCUUCAAGCGGACACAUGAGGAGCCAGUGCGAGGAGAGUCGCCGUGUUUUUCAGCAAUGGGCAAACGACUCACAGGACAUCAGUCAUCACAGCCACCAAGGAGCUGAGCGCCCUGGGUAUCAGCCCAGCAGUCUUUGCUUUUGAUGACAGGUUUUUCCUUGAUGAGUCUUUUCUGAUAAAUGUUUCCCAAAUGCUUGCAUCAAAGAGAUCUUUUUACCUGAAAAUUCAAGCAUGGAUGUAGCCUUUCUCUUAGAAAAUUCUCAGAGUAUAGGAAGUGAUGCAUUUAAGGCUAUGAAAACCUUGGUCAGCUCAAUGCUUGACAACUUCCACACUGCUUCAGAGCCAUUUAUCUCAGACCAUGGAGACAGGAUUGCUUUAAAGAGCUAUUCUCCUCGGGAUAGAAAGAAGGGUGCAGCAAAAACAGACUUUGAGUUUACAACUUACGGCAGCCAAGUCCUAAAGAAGGGCCACAUCCAGACUUCCCUCCAGCAGCUAGAAGGAGAAGCCACCACUGGCCAUGCCCUACUGUGGACCACAGAGAAUCUCUUCCCCCGAAUAUCCAACCUGAGGAAACACAAAGUCAUCUUCGUGGUCUCUCAGCUGGAGAAAAUCAUGAGAGAAAGGAAUUCUUAAAGAAGACAGCUCUGAAGGCCAAGUGACAAGGCUACGUCAAAUUUGUGAUUUCUCCUGGUUCUACACAUAAGGAUGAUGUGGAGGCAUUAGCCAGCCACCCACUUGAUCACCAUCUGAUACAGAUUGGGAGAAUUCAUAAACCAGAUCUGGAUUAUACUGUAAGAUUCUUAAAGCCAUUUGUGUACUCAGUCAGACGAGAAUUCAAUCAGUAUCCACCACCAAUGCUUGAGAAAGCCUGUGGUCUCAUUAGGGCAGAAGAAGCUCAUAAUCUCCUGUUUACUUCUGAGCUGCAUGAGAUUUCUUCAGGAGAGAACAGCUUCACUAACCAGGAAUUAAGUGCCGGGAGAGACUCACCUUUUGUGCUGGAGGACAGUGGAGGCGACCAUUUGGUCUACAUUCCGAGCUAAAAGCUGAUGCUAUAGGAGUUAGCGAGUAAAUAUGAAAAGGAUAAGGAUUCUGAAGAAAUUGCAAGUCUUACUUCUGGUAAGGAAAUGAAAAGUUACAAUGGACAUUUAAAGAUAACUGGGUCCUCAUCUUUUAACACUAGUACAGAAUCAAAUACAUUAAGGCUGGUGUCUGUAGCAGCUUUUCUUAAGUUCAAAAUGGUAGUGGCAGCUACUGCUUUUCAUAGAAAGUGAAGGUUUAAAUGGUGACAGGUACCCUGAGGAGAUCACUGACAGAAGCGUGAAGUAGUGUCCCUGAUACUCCCACCAAACCAUAUUGCUCUGGACGCCACACCUAGAAGGUUAGUGUGAUGGAGAAAGGGCAAGAUAGAGCACAUCACAGCAAAGGGGGAAUUAAAGCGACAAGGAGUUGGCUGGGCCAGUGCCCCAGAAUUUGUGAUCGCAUGAGAGGGAAAUGAUUAAGCAUAAACUCCUUCACUUCCUCCACUGUACAUUUGAAUAGCAAAAUAGUAACACCUUUUGUCAAGAUUUAAUAGUUUCAAAUAAACCAAAUAUAUAGGAUUUUUGUGUGUAUUUUCAUUGAAAAGGGUGACAUUAUAAACAAACUAUUCAGCCUUUCCAUCCAUGCAUCUAGAACCUUCCAAGAUGCUCAUCUGGCCAGAAUGCUGGUUUUUAAAACAUGCCAUAAGUAUCAUGUGUAUUGUUAGAAUAUGCAAGUUUAAAAGAAAAGGGAGACAAUUUUUGUCAAUCCUUCAUAAGAAAGAAUAAAAUUCAUUCUUAGUAGCUUCCUUGUAUAAAUAAAUUUUCUUUUCCUUGGGCUCAACACUCAUGGUUCCACAUUGUCCUCCUGUUGCUGAAAUUUAAAUAAAGAACUUU